GCGCUUGCACUGGCAGCACACACACUAAAUCUGGAACUGUACAGAGAUUAGCAUGGCCCUGUGCAAGGAUGACAUGCAAAUUCAUGAAGCUGUCCCUAGUUUU